AUACGUAGGUGACAAGCGUUAUCCGGAUUUACUGGGCGUAAAGGGCGUGUAGGCGGUCUUGCAAGUCAGAAGUGAAAUUCCUGAGCUCAACUUGGGCGCUGCUUCUGAAACUGCAGGACUUGAGUGCUGGAGGGGAUAGCGGAAUUCCUAGUGGAGCGGUAAAAUGCGCAGAUAUUAGGAAGAACACCGGUGGCGAAGGCGGUUAUCUGGACAGUAACUGACGCUGAGGCGCGAAAGCGUGGGGAGCAAACAGGAUUAGGUACCCUGGUAGGCCACGCCGUAAACGAUGAAUACUAGGUGUAGGGGGUAUCGACUCCCUCUGUGCCGCAGUUAACACAAUAAGUAUUCCGCCUGGGGAGUACGGCCGCAAGGUUGAAACUCAAAGGAAUUGACGGGG
rnacentral:rRNA from 1 species